rnacentral:lncRNA from 1 species
UCUGGGCGUUCUUUGUUCCUAAUGAGAGCAGGAAGUACUUUACUGAGGAAUUGUUUUGUUUUGCUUUAAUUUAUGUUUGUUUGCGAUCCAAUACAAUAGCAGUUUCAUUUCAGUGGGAGGCUGCCUGGCACUGAUGAAACACAAGUGAUAAGCAGUAAUAAAAAUGCUUUUUGUUUGCAAGUCACAACAGCAUUUAACAACCAUUCACUUUUUGCCUCUUUUACAGACCUGAUUAACCGAUGCCUUUCAUGCACAUUCGCUACGUUCAGAUGUAAUCCUAGUUCCAAGAAAGAGCUGUUUCUCAACAGAUCUUUGGCAACCUAUUUUACAAGUGAUUCUUGGGUUGCAUAUCGAUGUGAGCUGAGGAAGAGAAGCUACCUGAGAAGUCUGCCCAGUACAGCACGCUGAGGAGCGUGGAAGGACUUCACAGUCAUGUAAGUGUAAUUAUUAUGGCUCUCCAAAACGUCACCGGAGGAACGAGGAGUGAAAGACAAAUGUAAAGGGCCA